rnacentral:rRNA from 1 species
UACGUAGGGUGCAAGCGUUAUCCGGAUUCACUGGGGUUAAAGGGCGCGUAGGCGGCUUGCUAAGUCGAACGUGAAAUCCCCGAGCUCAACUCGGGAACUGCGUCCGAUACUGGCAGGCUUGAAUCCGGGAGAGGGAUGCGGAAUUCCAGGUGUAGCGGUGAAAUUCGUAGAUAUCGGGAGGAACACCAGUGGCGAAGGCGGCGAUCUGGGAAGAUACUGACGCUGAGGUGCGAAAGCGUGGGGAGCAAACAGG